rnacentral:rRNA from 1 species
UACGUAGGGACCGAGCGUUGUCCGGAAUUAUUGGGCGUAAAGCGCGCGCAGGCGGUCCUUUAAGUCUGAUGUGAAAGCCCACGGCUCAACCGUGGAGGGUCAUUGGAAACUGGGGGACUUGAGUACAGAAGAGAAGAGUGGAAUUCCACGUGUAGCGGUGAAAUGCGUAGAGAUGUGGAGGAACACCAGUGGCGAAGGCGACUCUUUGGUCUGUAACUGACGCUGAGGCGCGAAAGCGUGGGGAGCAAACAGG